GAGUUUGAUCGUGGCUCAGAUUGAACGCUGGCGGCAUGCCUUACACAUGCAAGUCGAACGGCAGCACGGGAGCUUGCUCCUGGUGGCGAGUGGCGAACGGGUGAGUAAUGCAUCGGAACGUAUCCUGGAGUGGGGGAUAACGUAGCGAAAGUUACGCUAAUACCGCAUAUUCUGUGAGCAGGAAAGCGGGGGACCUUCGGGCCUCGCGCUCUUGGAGCGGCCGAUGUCGGAUUAGCUAGUUGGUGGGUAAUGGCUCACCAAGGCGACGAUCCGUAACUGGUCUGAGAGGAUGAUCAGUCACACUGGAACUGAGACACGGUCCAGACUCCUACGGGAGGCAGCAGGUGGGGAAUAUUGGACAAUGGGCGAAAGCCUGAUCCAGCCAUGCCGCGUGUGUGAAGAAGGUCUUCGGAUUGUAAAGCACUUUAAGUGGGAGGAGGCAGUAAGUUAAUACCUUGCUGUUUUGACG
rnacentral:rRNA from 1 species